UACGUAGGGUGCGAGCGUUGUCCGGAAUUAUUGGGCGUAAAGAGCUCGUAGGCGGUGUGUCACGUCGGCCGUGAAAACCUGCAGCUUAACUGUGGGCGUGCGGUCGAUACGGGCAUCACUGGAGUUCGGCAGGGGAGACUGGAAUUCCUGGUGUAGUGGUGAAAUGCGUAGAUAUCGGGAGGAACACCAGUGGCGAAGGCGACUUCCUGGCCUGUUCUUGACGCUGAGGCGCGAAAGCUAGGGGAGCAAACGGG
rnacentral:rRNA from 1 species